rnacentral:rRNA from 1 species
ACGGGAGGCAGCAGUGGGGAAUAUUGCACAAUGGGGGAAACCCUGAUGCAGCGACGCCGCGUGAGCGAAGAAGUAUUUCGGUAUGUAAAGCUCUAUCAGCAGGGAAGAAAAUGACGGUACCUGACUAAGAAGCCCCGGCUAACUACGUGCCAGCAGCCGCGGUAAUACGUAGGGGGCAAGCGUUAUCCGGAUUUACUGGGUGUAAAGGGAGCGUAGACGGAAUGGCAAGUCUGAUGUGAAAGGCUGGGGCUCAACCCCGGGACUGCAUUGGAAACUGUCAAUCUAGAGUACCGGAGGGGUAAGUGGAAUUCCUAGUGUAGCGGUGAAAUGCGUAGAUAUUAGGAGGAACACCAGUGGCGAAGGCGGCUUACUGGACGGUAACUGACGUUGAGGCUCGAAAGCGUGGGGAGCAAACAGGAUUAGAUACCCUGGUA